GGUCAAGCUACAAAGGGCAGAUGGUGGAUACCUAGC
rnacentral:rRNA from 1 species